rnacentral:lncRNA from 13 species
AGUGGAGUGAAGUAACUCUACCAAGCAGUCGAGAGGAUUUCUGAAAAGUCAGAUAUCUCAGCUGGGCUGUGAAGGAUGAAUAGGAGUUUACUGGUACUCCAUGGAGAAUGGGUUGGACAGAGGAAAGACUGGGAAAGGAGAUGGCUUCAAACUGUAUUAUCCAACACAGCAGGCACCAGCCACAGGCUACAUUGCGAGCUGAACAGCAGCCUGAGCCCCUGGAGGAUUCCCGUCCUCCCCUUCUCUCUGUCCCCACAGAAGUUGGAAGAAGUUACAGGUAAACAAGUAGAGAAAAACAAGGCCAGAGGAAAACACUGCUAUUUUGGAGUCAAGAGUUUUCCUUUGCCUUUCAAAAUUGGUCUCCUACUACUCUUCUUUCCCACGUCACUCCAAUGGGAGAUCAAAAUUCCCCAGUUGAACUCAAAAUUGCGGUACUCAGCCUUAGUUGAUGGGGCCACCAUCUAUCUGUCCCUAAACCUGGAAGUUGAAUCAGAUUCUUGCCUGCAC